rnacentral:rRNA from 1 species
UACAGAGGUCCCAAGCGUUACUGAGAAUCACUGGGUUAAAGGGUGCGUAGGUGGUCCGUUAAGUCAGUUGUGAAAUCCCCGGGCUCAACCCGGGAACUGCUUCUGAUACUGGCGGACUUGAGGCCAGUAGAGGUCACUGGAACUGACGGUGGAGCGGUGAAAUGCGUAGAUAUCGUCAGGAACGCCGGUGGUGAAGACGGGUGACUGGGCUGGUUCUGACACUGAGGCACGAAAGCGUGGGGAGCGAACGGGG